CUCAGUGAUCCAUGGCUUUUCUAAGAAGCCAGCAUUGCUGCUAUAAUGGAACCAGGGGCUCUCCAUGGCUAUGAAAGCGUUGUUACUACUGCCACAGCACAAAGUAACUGAAGGUCAUGUCUGAAUUUAUUUGCAGAAUUUUAUCUGCAAAAGAUCAACUAUUGAAUAUUUAUCAUACACAGAAAGUGUUGGAAACUUGGAAAAGAUUUCUCUGGGGAUUACUUUAGAAUUUGUGUGUUUUCUAACUUGCUCAAAAUCCUAAAGUACAAUGCAUAUAUGUUUGCUUCAGGAAGACUGUUCUGGUUGCUCUGUUUCUUGGGCCACUGAGUAUCAUAACCCCUGUGCUUCUGUAUGCAUAUCUAUCAUCACUGGCUUUUUCCUUAAGGGCUUGCCUUUGCAGGCUUUUGUAACCAGUGACUUCAAGGACAGCGACUCCAAGGACAGCUGCAAUUUGAAUGAAUUUAGCACAGUUUUAACCCAAUAAGCAUUGUGGAUCUCAAGGGCUUCAGUCUUGUAAAUCUCACAGUUUACAUGGCAACCAUUUGAAGGAGAAGCUGUGGAAGAAGGGGAAAUAUAUUUGUAUUUAUAUCUAUAUACAUAUAAAUUUGUAUGGUAAUUUAAACACAA